rnacentral:rRNA from 1 species
CUCAAAGGAAUUGACGGGGACCCGCACAAGCGGUGGAUGAUGUGGUUUAAUUCGAUGCAACGCGAAAAACCUUACCCACCUUUGACAUGUACGGAACCCUUUGGAGACAGAGGGGUGCUCGAAAGAGAGCCGUAACACAGGUGCUGCAUGGCUGUCGUCAGCUCGUGUCGUGAGAUGUUGGGUUAAGUCCCGCAACGAGCGCAACCCUUGUCAUUAGUUGCUACGAAAGGGCACUCUAAUGAGACUGCCGGUGACAAGCCGGAGGAAGGUGGGGAUGACGUCAAGUCCUCAUGGCCCUUAUAGGUGGGGCUACACACGUCAUACAAUGGCUGGUACAGAGGGUUGCCAACCCGCGAGGGGGAGCCAAUCCCAUAAAACCAGUCGUAGUCCGGAUCGCAGUCUGCAACUCGACUGCGUGAAGUCGGAAUCGCUAGUAAUCGCGGAUCAGCAUGUCGCGGUGAAUACGUUCCCGGGUCUUGUACACACCGCCCGUCACACCAUGGGAGCGGGUUCUGCCAGA